rnacentral:rRNA from 1 species
CCUACGGGUGGCAGCAGUGGGGAAUAUUGGACAAUGGGCGAAAGCCUGAUCCAGCCAUGCCGCGUGUGUGAAGAAGGCCUUCGGGUUGUAAAGCACUUUCAGUGGGGAAGAAAGCCUUGGGGCUAAUACCCUCGAGGAAGGACAUCACCCACAGAAGAAGCACCGGCUAACUCCGUGCCAGCAGCCGCGGUAAUACGGAGGGUGCGAGCGUUAAUCGGAAUUACUGGGCGUAAAGCGCGCGUAGGCGGUCUGAUAAGCCGGUUGUGAAAGCCCCGGGCUCAACCUGGGAACGGCAUCCGGAACUGUCAGGCUAGAGUGCAGGAGAGGAAGGUAGAAUUCCCGGUGUAGAGGUGAAAUGCGUAGAGAUCGGGAGGAAUACCAGUGGCGAAGGCGGCCUUCUGGACUGACACUGACGCUGAGGUGCGAAAGCGUGGGUAGCAAACAGGAUUAGAUACCCGUGUAGUC